GGCAUUCGCUGGUCAGCCAUUACGUGGCACAGUUCCGACAAACUAAACAGCUACUGUAAAGCCGGAAACAUACUUAAAUCGAGAUACCGACAUUGUGUUGAUUCAGUGAUUAUUUACUGCAACAACAAGGGUCAAUUUAUUUUCCACGCCACUCUGCCAAGUUUAAUAACCCUCUGAUUUCGAGGCUUAUAUAUAUACAAUUUGGUAUAGAGCUAAAUUUUAUUAUUUCUCACAAUUCAAUUUAUAUUGUAUUUAUCCAAUUUUAUGCGGAAAAGAAUCUGAAAGUAACUCACUCGACAAUGCUCAGCGAUGCUCGGGUAAGUUAUGUUACGGCGUACGUUUGUUCCCCCUCUACAAAUAAAUUUGCUAUAGGAUAAUACCGUAACCACCCAUUUUGCAUUUCUCUCGGACCUCCGUCGCCUCUACUUCUUGCUACAGUUGUUCACACUCCAGUUAGGAUAGAGCUCAAUGCGUUUGACAGGUACAGAUUAGAGUGAGGAAUAGCUGGAUGCAGGUUAUUAAGACAGAAGAAAAAAAUUUCACCAGAUGCUGCAAGAAAUAAUCCACAAGAGACAGUAAUGUUGCCUUGUAAUACGUGUGUGCACGCAUUAAAACCAUAAUAGUAGUUUUACCAGUGCGACAUAUUUUUUACCUAUUACAACAAGAAGAAGAGCAUAUAAAAUCAUCAAUGAAACACCUUUGAUUGAUCUAAGCAGCUACAGUCAUUCCAAUAAGAAGAAUCGAAGGGAUGAAUUGCUUAUU